rnacentral:lncRNA from 1 species
CUCAAAAGAAAAAUGACGGUAUAGAGACAGAUUGUGUCCAGAUGCAAAGAGAUGGUACUUGAUUGCUGAAAUGUGGACCCGUAUGAAAUACUGCCGUGGAGUAGAAACCCUGUAGACCAAACCGCUAUUGACUUAGCAUGAUCUACUCUCGUACCUUGUCUGUGGAGUCAGCGCAUACACGGCGCACCAAUUUCGCAAUUAUAAAUCUCUGGAGGCGCACAUCCAAUUCACCAAGGACUGGGUACAAGAUUUGGCUAUUUUUAAGCCUCCACGUUGUGAGUACGCCGCCAUUCAAGCAAAGGUACUGCACUCUUAAAGACUGAAUUGCAGCAUUGCAGCCACAGGACAUUGUGAGCAUCACAGGGAAGGUUGAAGCCGCCCACUGCACCUGUAUGGCCGCACCCAUGUCGCUGCUCUUCUGUUUAAUGUAGAAGCAACAAUGCGGAUCUGUGGCACACGGACUGUUACAGAUGAACCUGCAUACUGGGUUUUGCCUGGUAAUAUGACCAAGAUACAGCCAGAGGUUGCCAAUAAGAUAGACUUCUCCUCUUCAGCUGCCCAAAAAAAGGUUCUUGAUCAAAACAAACAGACCAUUCGUUGUGACAGGUAAAAGAAGCUGUCCUCAAAAAAGAAAAAUUCCACCUGCUACUGUGGAGGAGUUGGAUCAACUGAUGGGACAAUAUUUUUCCAAGCAUAGUUCUGUUCUGAAUAACCCAUAAUGUGUUAAUUUAGGGGGCCAUGUAAAUACUUUGCAUUUACUGUAUAUGUACUUACUAAGUACCACUGUUCAAAAGUUAGUUUACAAAUGACAAAAUGUUCACAUAAAAUCAUGACAGCAUUUAAAUAAUAUCACCCACUACUAGCAUUCUGUAAUUUACUGUCUGUUUUGAAAACUUAUCACUACAUAAACAGCACAAGACUUAAGAGUAUUUAACAAGAGCAUUUUCCCCUGGUUUUACUAACACACUGGGGCACAUGUUCACCAAAACGCAUUGAAAAUAAAACUAACAGGCUAUAAAGAAUAAUAUGAACUUAUUUAGAAC